rnacentral:rRNA from 1 species
GACGAACGCUGGCGGUGUGCUUAACACAUGCAAGUGGUGCGACGAACCUGGCUUCGGCCAGGGGCAAAGCCGCGAACGGGUGAGCAACACGUGGGUAAUCUGCCCCGAUGACUGGGACAACCCGAGGAAACUCGGGCUAAUACCGGAUGUGGUGCCUGGACAUAAGUCCGGUCACUAAAGGUAGCUUCGGCUUCCGCAUUGGGAGGGGCCCGCGGCCCAUUAGCUUGUUGGUGGGGUCAAGGCCUACCAAGGCAACGAUGGGUAGCUGGUCUGAGAGGACGAUCAGCCACACUGGGACUGAGACACGGCCCAGACUCCUACGGGAGGCAGCAGUGGGGAAUCUUGCGCAAUGCGCGAAAGCGUGACGCAGCAACACCGCGUGAGGGAAGACGGCCUUAGGGUUGUAAACCUCUUUCAGAUGGGACGAAGGUUGUCCGGUGAAUAGCCGAGAUGAUUGACGGUACCGUCAGAAGAAGCUCCGGCUAACUACGUGCCAGCCGCCGCCGUAA